GGGAAUAUUGGACAAUGGGCCUCAAGCCUGAUCCAGCAAUUCUGUGUGCACGAUGAAGGUCUUCGAAUCGUAAAGUGCUUUCAGUUGGGAAGAAGAAAGUGAGGGUACCAACAGAAGAAGCGACGGCUAAAUACGUGCCAGCAGCCGCGGUAUAAU
rnacentral:rRNA from 1 species